AGAACUUAAUUUUUUUUUAUGUAUUGUUGUUGUAAAAUUAUAUUAAUAGAUAUUAAUUGAUAAAUUUAAUUAAAAUUAUAAUUCAAAUCAAAAUGUAGAAUAAUUAAGAGUUUAAUGAGUUACAAUUAAUUUAAUAAUUGGAAUUUAAAAAUUUAAUUUAUAGAUAAAAAUUGGAUUUAAAAGUAAAUUUAUAUAAAUAUAUAAAAUGAAU
rnacentral:rRNA from 1 species